ACUCCCAUUCUUGGCAGGCCCCGGCCGCCCUGUGCCCGGGUCUGUGAUGUCCGGAGGUAGAGCAGUGACUCUU
rnacentral:snoRNA from 1 species